GAUGAUUGAGGGGGAACCAACUAUCUAUUGGCUCCACAAUGUCUGUGUGCCAGUCACUCCCUCCUUUUCUCAUUGGGGGGAGGAGUAUAGCAGUGUCUGGAACCAUUGUAUGUCCCCUCUGAUGUUGCCCUUCUCUUGACCUAGUAUAUGACCUAGAGGCUCACUCCCCUCCGUGAGUUUGUCCAGGAUUUGAGAUGGGAGUAUCUAGAAUUGACAAUUGAUAUAUGCCAUUAGAUGGCUAAUGUUUCUGUACUAUGAAGUACCAAGAACAAGAUUAGACCCUCGUUUAGGAGACCAAACUGAACGAUAAUUUAUAGCGAAUGCUGUCUGGCUAUCUGAUACUCCUCUCUCAAGUAAAAGUAUUUAUUUGUGAACAGUUCCUAUUAUCUGUGGUUUGUCAUGUCGACUAGGGGGUGGGUCUUUGCUAUAAAAGAUCUCAGUUGCCAUUAUGUUGACCACUUUCAACUUUUCAUUAGAGAUACUGAACUGUUGAAAGUCAAAUGCUAUUGCCAUCUGUAUUUGGGGAGUUUCUCCCAUUCUUCUCUGCAGAUCCUCUCAAGCUCUGUCAGGUUGGAUGGGGAGUGUCACUGAACAGCUAUCUUCAGGUCUCUCCAGAGAUGCUAGAUUGGGUUCAGUUCAAUGUUAGAGGUCCUUUAGUACAUAGUGGGGUUGAGUUGCUUUGUUGAGCUCAGUUCAAUGUUAGAGGUCCUUUAGUACAUAGUGGGGUUGAGUUGCUUUGUUGAGCUCAGUUCAAUGUUAGAGGUCCUUUAGUACAUAGUGGGGUUGAGUUGCUUUGUUGAGCUCAGUUCAAUGUUAGAGGUCCUUUAGUUACAUAGUGGGGUUGAGUUGCUUUGUUGAGCUCAGUUCAAUGUUAGAGGUCCUUUAGUUACAUAGUGGGGUUGAGUUGCUUUGUUGAGCUCAGUUCAAUGUUAGAGGUCCUUUAGUUACAUAGUGGGGUUGAGUUGCUUUGUUGAGCUCAGUUCAAUGUUAGAGGUCCUUUAGUUACAUAGUGGGGUUGAGUUGCUUUGUUGAGCUCAGUUCAAUGUUAGAGGUCCUUUAGUUACAUAGUGGGGUUGAGUUGCUUUGUUGAGCUCAGUUCAAUGUUAGAGGUCCUUUAGUACAUAGUGAGGUUGAGUUGCUUUGUUGAGCUCAGUUCAAUGUUAGAGGUCCUUUAGUACAUAGUGGGGUUGAGUUGCUUUGUUGAGCUCAGUUCAGUGUUAGAGGUCCUUUAGUACAUAGUGGGGUUGAGUUGCUUUGUUGAGCUCAGUUCAAUGUUAGAGGUCCUUUAGUUACAUAGUGGGGUUGAGUUGCUUUGUUGAGCUCAGUUCAAUGUUAGAGGUCCUUUAGUUACAUAGUGGGGUUGAGUUGCUUUGUUGAGCUCAGUUCAAUGUUAGAGGUCCUUUAGUUACAUAGUGGGGUUGAGUUGCUUUGUUGAGCUCAGUUCAAUGUUAGAGGUCCUUUAGUUACAUAGUGGGGUUGAGUUGCUUUAUUGAGCUCAGUUCAAUGUUAGAGGUCCUUUAGUACAUAGUGGGGUUGAGUUGCUUUGUUGAGCUCAGUUCAAUGUUAGAGGUCCUUUAGUACAUAGUGGGGUUGAGUUGCUUUGUUGAGCUCAGUUCAUUGUUAGAGGUCCUUUAGUUACAUAGUGGGGUUGAGUUGCUUUGUUGAGCUCAGUUCAUUGUUAGAGGUCCUUCAGUACAUAGUGGGUUUGAGUUGCUUUGUUGAGCUCAGUUCAAUGUUAGAGGUCCUUUAGUUACAUAGUUGGGUUGAGUUGCUUUGUUGAGCUCAGUUCAAUGUUAGAGGUCCUUUAGUACAUAGUGGGGUUGAGUUGCUUUGUUGAGCUCAGUUCAAUGUUAGAGGUCCUUUAGUACAUAGUGGGGUUGAGUUGCUUUGUUGAGCUCAGUUCAAUGUUAGAGGUCCUUUAGUUACAUAGUGGGGUUGAGUUGCUUUGUUGAGCUCAGUUCAAUGUUAGAGGUCCUUUAGUUACAUAGUGGGGUUGAGUUGCUUUGUUGAGCUCAGUUCAAUGUUAGAGGUCCUUUAGUUACAUAGUGGGGUUGAGUUGCUUUGUUGAGCUCAGUUCAUGUUAGAGGUCCUUUAGUUACAUAGUGGGGUUGAGUUGCUUUGUUGAGCUCAGUUCAAUGUUAGAGGUCCUUUAGUACAUAGUGGGGUUGAGUUGCUUUGUUGAGCUCAGUUCAAUGUUAGAGGUCCUUUAGUACAUAGUGGGGUUGAGUUGCUUUGUUGAGCUCAGUUCAAUGUUAGAGGUCCUUUAGUACAUAGUGGGGUUGAGUUGCUUUGUUGAGCUCAGUUCAAUGUUAGAGGUCCUUUAGUUACAUAGUGGGGUUGAGUUGCUUUGUUGAGCUCAGUUCAAUGUUAGAGGUCCUUUAGUUACAUAGUGGGGUUGAGUUGCUUUGUUGAGCUCAGUUCAAUGUUAGAGGUCCUUUAGUUACAUAGUGGGGUUGAGUUGCUUUGUUGAGCUCAGUUCAAUGUUAGAGGUCCUUUAGUUACAUAGUGGGGUUGAGUUGCUUUGUUGAGCUCAGUUCAAUGUUAGAGGUCCUUUAGUACAUAGUGGGGUUGAGUUGCUUUGUUGAGCUCAGUUCAAUGUUAGAGGUCCUUUAGUACAUAGUGGGGUUGAGUUGCUUUGUUGAGCUCAGUUCAAUGUUAGAGGUCCUUUAGUACAUAGUGGGGUUGAGUUGCUUUGUUGAGCUCAGUUCAUUGUUAGAGGUCCUUCAGUACAUAGUGGGUUUGAGUUGCUUUGUUGAGCUCAGUUCAAUGUUAGAGGUCCUUUAGUUACAUAGUUGGGUUGAGUUGCUUUGUUGAGCUCAGUUCAAUGUUAGAGGUCCUUUAGUACAUAGUGGGGUUGAGUUGCUUUGUUGAGCUCAGUUCAAUGUUAGAGGUCCUUUAGUUACAUAGUGGGGUUGAGUUGCUUUGUUGAGCUCAGUUCAAUGUUAGAGGUCCUUUAGUUACAUAGUGGGGUUGAGUUGCUUUGUUGAGCUCAGUUCAAUGUUAGAGGUCCUUCAGUACAUAGUGGGUUUGAGUUGCUUUGUUGAGCUCAGUUCAAUGUUAGAGGUCCUUUAGUUACAUAGUUGGGUUGAGUUGCUUUAUUGAGCUCAGUUCAAUGUUAGAGGUCCUUCAGUACAUAGUGGGGUUGAGUUGCUUUGUUGAGCUCAGUUCAAUGUUAGAGGUCCUUCAGUACAUAGUGAGGUUGAGUUGCUUUGUUGAGCUCAGUUCAAUGUUAGAGGUCCUUCAGUACAUAGUGGGGUUGAGUUGCUUUGUUGAGCUCAGUUCAAUGUUAGAGGUCCUUCAGUACAUAGUGAGGUUGAGUUGCUUUGUUGAGCUCAGUUCAAUGUUAGAGGUCCUUCAGUACAUAGUGGGGUUGAGCUGCUUUGUUGAGCUCAGUUCAUUGUUAGAGGCUUGUUUUUUCAUCAUAUAUAUAUAUGUAUAUAUUUUACUCCUUUUUCUCCCCAAUUCCAAUUGUUGUA